rnacentral:lncRNA from 1 species
AACACAAUAGGGGCUAAUGAAUAGAGCUUGCUGCACUCAAGAGACUGCAGUUCAAUUACUAGUGGUGCCAAUCAAGUCAGAAAUAUUAACCAUGGUAACAGCAGAUUUGAGUUGCAUGGAAUGAGGCAGUGGCUUCUUGGGGAAGAUCGCCUCUUGGGAGAGAAGGGGAUGCUUACAGUAAGAGUUGCCGAAGGUCGGAGAAUGCUUCUUUGUGGCAAAAGAGAGUAGUACUCAGCUCAUGCUACAGGGAGCUCUGUGUUGUUUGUAUUUGUUUUCACUGCAAUGUGCCUGAGAGGUUGUAACUAGCAAGUGUGCUUAACUAUGGGGCCUAUACUAUGUGCCUAGCAUAUAGAAAUGUAUUUCCUGUGUAUGUGUGCACGCAUUACACAAGGUACUUGCUAUACCCUAAUAUGUUGUACAAUAUAUUAGCUAAUUAUGUGAAAGAUACAUUUAAAUGGAGAUUAGGUCCUAAACAGGAGUAAAAUGUUGCUGAAGUCAUUGUGACUGCACUGAAUUCCACCAAUCGAAGCUGUAGCCUUUUAUAAGGAUUUACUUAAUAUAGUGCAUUUGUUCUGCUGGCUGAUGAUCAGAGUGAGGAUCCCUUGAUUUGAUACAAUGGCAGUGUUAUGUAUUAGUAGCAUGAACAGGAAGCAGCUGGCAUCCUGUUCAGAAAACAAUCUCAGUUUUUAUUGCAGAGAACAAUAUUGAAAAACAGCACGUGUGUGUGAGGGGCCUAAUCCUUAAAAAUGUGGGAGUUGAGAUACUGUCCCUUUUCAUUGACUAGUCACUUCUGGACUAUCGCUCUCAAUUUGUCUUUCUUCACAGAAAGCUGUUCUGGUUUUGGUCUUUUGGAAUACAGAGAAAACCAGCUUGAACCCCAAAAUGGCUGUUUUGCACCUGUCUGCUGCCUUAUCCUGCUGGAAUUUAAAUGAGGUUUCUGUGUUAUGGGUUAUGUCACCUAGGUUCUGCUUAUGCUGAAUGCUGAAAGAUAGACAUGUUGACUGCAUGAUGUUGAUCUUCAGUGGUUUCAGCAAGCCUCCAGAGGUAACUGUCGUUCUCUGUGAAGAUACAGGGAACCCCAGGGUAUUGUGCUUUUAACGUCAAUGACUCAGUUAGACAGUUGCAGUUACCAUAGCUGAAUCUCAGGUCUCCUCAGCUCUGUACUUUUGGGUCGACAGCAGCUGGGAGGGAGCUAAAGGUGGUCGUGUUCACAUCUGUAGCAACAGUGGAGAAGGGCUGAAAACUAGUAGACCAUCUGCCUGCUCAGAGAGGUUGCAGGCAAAACGCCUUAGGUAGCCCUGGUGGAGAAAGCCAUACAACCCUAUUCCACUAGUGCUGUUGUGCAAGGUGUCCCCAGUACCCACAACCAGACUGAGGGAGUGAUGGUACCUGCACUCCCGAUUCAUCUGGUCACGUUUUUCUCUGGCCCUGUAAUGGCACAAGAUGCCCUAGCUACUUUCCCCACUGUACUUAGGUAGUCCAUAUACCACCUGAGCCCCUUCUGGAUGCUUUAGAGGUCAGAAAGUCCCCUGCACAUUUUGUGCAUUGGCAUGAUCCACGCAAUCAGCCAAAAUUCAGGCCUACACGAAGACUGCCUGUCAUAAAAGGGAGAGCACGUGACAGAGUUACUCUCAUGUCUAUAACAAGAGGAGCCAGUAUGCUAAGAAAGGAACACAUAGCUGCAGGCUAGAUGAAUUAAUUUUUCCAGGACUGUUUGUGUCACAGCCUUGAUAAAACUCUGUUCUCUUUGUACGCUCCAAGAUGCUGUGUUUGGGUAAUGUUACAAGGUAUCUAAGUGUUUUUAGCUUUCUUAUGUCUCUGUUAGAUUUAGCCUCCCUUUCUGGCAGAGUUCUUUGAUAUGGAUAUUAUCUAUUACUGUUUCAGAGAAGCAAGACUGCUAUAGCCCAUC